GUCUUCCGUCACAAUCUCCGUUCAGCUCACCGCCACCACCGAAGCUGAUAUUCCUUAUUGAUCUAAGUUUCUUCAAUGAAAUCAGCUUUUACUCCAAAUAACCACUUGAUAGAUCUUUCUACAGUUGUAUUGCCGCCCUCUUAGAUUGGAACCGUCUCGUAAGAUUGAAGAAUUUUCAGAUCUUUUUUGCUUCAACUCAAGCUCAAAGAUAGAAGCUCCGCCUUUUGACCUAUCAUAUGAGGUCAACUUCGUAUGAUAACGAAGUAAUUUUAGCGAAGAUAUUACUCUAAUCAUUUGAGAAGAGCCAAGCUACGGUUAAAGGAAAGAAACCAAUCUUAUAAAUAGCGGAAUUUGGAUUUAGCUUUGGUAGAAAGAUGAACAAAAUAAACCAAACUUAGAUGGAAAACAAUCCAAACUAAGAUGGUAAUAAACUCCGGCAAAGCGGAAACUAGGUAUCCGUUUAAAAUCGAAAAUUAUUCAUAUAAAACAAAAAAACAGAAAAAUUCCGGCUAACCGCCUUUAAUAUAUAU